ACAUGCAAGUCGAACGGCAGCACGGGGGCAACCCUGGUGGCGAGUGGCGAACGGGUGAGUAAUACAUCGGAACGUGUCCUGUAGUGGGGGAUAGCCCGGCGAAAGCCGGAUUAAUACCGCAUACGACCUGAGGGAGAAAGCGGGGGAUCUUCGGACCUCGCGCUAUAGGGGCGGCCGAUGGCAGAUUAGCUAGUUGGUGGGGUAAAGGCCUACCAAGGCGACGAUCUGUAGCUGGUCUGAGAGGACGACCAGCCACACUGGGACUGAGACACGGCCCAGACUCCUACGGGAGGCAGCAGUGGGGAAUUUUGGACAAUGGGGGCAACCCUGAUCCAGCAAUGCCGCCGUGUGUGAAGAAGGCCUUCGGGUUGUAAAGCACUUUUGUCCGGAAAGAAAACUUCGUCCCUAAUUGGAUGGAGGAUGACGGUACCGGAAGAAUAAGCACCGGCUAACUACGUGCCAG
rnacentral:rRNA from 1 species